GUCUAUUCAAAAUUCCAACACCUCAGAUUCAGUUGGAGAAUCGAUUUUAGUGUCUUCUGACUGCAUGGUGGUGGUGGUCAAAGGGAGAUAGUGCAUCAAGUGGUUCAUUCGCAAGGGGCUAUUUGAUCACAGAGCUUAGCAAUAAAAUGGUCAUUUUUUUCAUUAAUGAUGGUGUCUGAUCUAGUUAGGAUGCACCUUGAUGAAUCCACCUGGUACUUGCAGCCUUCCAUCAGCACAACUACUAUCACCAUUCACCAAGGCUAAGGGAAAUGAGAAAAUUUUGAAUACUGUCACCUCCGAUGGAAUUCGAACAUAUCAAAGAAACACAUUGUGAUUCAUGCUUAUAAAUGACUUUGUGAUAAAUCUCAGAAUAAGGGGUGAAAUUUGGAUUACUAAAUUUACGUUACCCUAAAAGUUGCUUAGUGUCAUCAUUAGGAACCACCCCUCAAGCAAAUGAAUUAGCUUUCCACAGCUACCAUUUCUAAAAUAAGACUCAUGUAUGAAAUUUUUUUUUUAUCUAAAAAUGCAUACCUCCUGCUCUUUCUUUUUUUUA